GGCGCCAUGCCUUAGUUGGUUAAAGCGCCUGUCUAGUAAACAGGAGAUCCUGAGUUCGAAUCUCAGUGGUGCCU
rnacentral:tRNA from 1 species